rnacentral:rRNA from 1 species
AUUGAACGCUGGCGGCAGGCCUAACACAUGCAAGUCGAGCGAGCGGCGGACGGGUGAGUAAUGUAUGGGGACUGCCCGAUAGAGGGGGAUAACUACUGGAAACGGUAGCUAAUACCGCAUACUAUCGGAUAACCCAUAUGGGAGUAGCUAGUAGGUGAGGUAAUGGCUCACCUAGGCGACGAUCCCUAGCUGGUCUGAGAGGAUGAUCAGCGAGAUUGGAAGUGAGACACGGCACAGAGUCCGAAGGAGGCACCAGUGGUGAAUAGUGCAAAAUGGGCGCAAGCUUGAUGCAGCCAUGGCUCGUGUAUGAAGAAGGACUGAGGGUGGUAAAGUACUUUGAGUGGGGAGGGGUGACCUACAGAAGAAGCACCGGCGAACGCCGGGCCAGCAGCCGCGGUAAUUC